rnacentral:rRNA from 1 species
UACGUAGGGAGCAAGCGUUGUCCGGAUUCACUGGGUGUAAAGGGUGCGCAGGCGGACUUGUAAGUCAGGGGUGAAAUCUCACGGCUUAACCGUGAAACUGCCUUUGAUACUGCAGGUCUUGAGUUCGGGAGAGGUUGAUGGAAUUCCAGGUGUAGCGGUGAAAUGCGCAGAUAUCAGGAGGAACACCAAUUGCGAAGGCAGCUCGCUGGGACGUUACUGACGCUGAGACGCGAAAGCGUGGGGAGCAAACAGG